rnacentral:lncRNA from 1 species
UUGUGCCAAGGCCCAAUUAGUACUAAUUGAGUUGUUUGAAUAUUUAUAUAUUUUGUAUGUUAACUGCAUUUAUUUAAAAUCUGAGAUCGAAAAAACAGGUUUUUUUUCAUUUCCGUGAGUACUUUAAUACUUCUGCAAGAUUGAGCCAGCCAGUAGUGUCUUCCUACAUUCCAUGUCUGUUGAGACUUUUACAAUUUUGAGGCUGUUGUUAAUUUCCAGUGCUUUACAUUUCUCUGGCAGGCCAUGGUAGCUUGGAUAUAUCUUGCUGUUAUAUCUACCCCACUCUGUUGCUGUCAUGUUAACACUUUUCACACUGUGUGUGAUGAAGGCUGUGUUAGUUUGCAUAUUUAUUAACCUUUGCAUUUUUGUAAACAUUUUAUGUUGCAAGCUCCCCAUUGACCCGGAUCAACAAACUAUGUCACAUAUAUAAUUGUUGUGUCAUCCUGAGAUCACAAAUAAUUACAUUUGUUGUCAUACAGAUGACACACUUGAAGUCAGACAUGUGACUUACAUUGAUUGUCAUACAUCCGACUCACAUUGGUUUCAUAUAGGUGACUCACAUAUGAAGUUAUACAGGUGACUCACAUAUGAAGUCAUACAGGUGACUAACAUAUGAAGUCAUGCAGGUGACUCAUGUAAAGUUAUACAGGUGACUCACAUAUGAAGUCAUACAGGUGACUCACAUAUGAAGCUAUACCGGUGACUCACAUCAUCAUACAGGUGACACACAUUGACACAACCUUAAAUGUAGAAACUAGGUCUCAUUGAACAUUCCCCACCCUAAGUCUCAGUAAAUAUAAACCUCUCUCAAUGCCCAGGUCUAACAUUCCCAGCCAAGGCCUCGGUAAACAUCCAAAAUCUUCUGUCUCAGUAAGCACCCCCACUUGUAGGUCUUUGUAAACAGCCCCAACCUAUGUCUCAGAAAACAUCUCCACCUUCAUAUCUCUGCAGACAGCCCCACCCCUAGGUCUGUAGACAACCCCCUCCCUAGGUCUCUGUAAACAGCCCCACCCCUAGGUCUGUAGACAUCACCGUCCCUAGGUCUCUAUAGACAGCCCCCUCCCUAGGUCUCUGUAAACAGCCCCACCCCUAGGUCUGUAGACAUCACCGUCCCUAGGUCUCUAUAGACAGCCCCCUCCCUGUCUCUAUAGACAGCCCCCUCCCUUGGUCUCUGUAGACAACCCCCUCCCUUGGUCUCUGUAGACAACCCCCUCCCUAGAUCUCUACAGACAAACCCACCCCUAGGUCUCAAUAGACAGUCCCAUCCCUAGGUCUCUGUAGACAGCCCUAUGCCUAGGUCUCUGUAGACAACUUCCUCUCAAGGUCUCUGUAGACAGCCCCAUGCCUAGGUCUCUGUAGACAACUUCCUCUCAAGGUCUCUGUAGACAACCCCAUGCCUAGGUCUCUGUAGACAACUUCCUCCCAAGGUCUCUGUAGACUACCUUACCAAUGUGUUAGGCCAGUAGGAUGUAGCAUCUAAAACCUGUUUUAUUAUUACGCCAGGGUAUUCAUGGAAUCACUCACUCACUCUACUUUUUGUCACUAUGUCUCUGUAAGCCAGUAGGUAGGAUGUGAUGUGUGUCUACUGACUCAGCUGAUGCCUCCAGGAUGUAUAUAUACAGACAGCACAUCUGAUAUUUCUGGUUACAUCGAUUUGUCUUGUUCACAGUUCUAUAUGAAUAAUUUGUGACUGCUAAUUAUAAAACCAACCACAAGCUUAUGAUUAUUGUGAUACGUGUCUGCCUUGAGUAUCCACACAAACCUCCACAAUCUUAAACACUUACAUUUCAGAGUGUUGCUCUUUGUUUACAUGAAAGUUCUGAGGUGAAUGAAUGACUGUAGAUAUGUAAAUAAGUCUGUUAAAUCAAAAACUGUACACUUAUUAUCCAUUGUUACCAAUAUUCAAGACUCGUGGAAUAAAUUUUAUAUUACA